rnacentral:rRNA from 1 species
UACGAACCGUCCAAACGUUAUUCGGAAUUACUGGGCUUAAAGGGUGCGUAGGCGGCCCGGUAAGUUGGGUGUGAAAUCCCUCGGCUUAACCGAGGAAUUGCGCCCAAAACUGUCGGGCUCGAGGAAGAUAGAGGUGAGCGGAACUUAGGGUGGAGCGGUGAAAUGCGUUGAUAUCCUAAGGAACACCGGUGGCGAAAGCGGCUCACUGGGUCUUUUCUGACGCUGAGGCACGAAAGCUAGGGGAGCGAAGAGG